AUGGGUGAAGAGCUCGCAUCUGUCCUCUCUUUCAGAGUGAAUGAGGCAGAAAAUGUGGCCGGGGCUCAAAUCGUCGUUGUAUUAAGCAGGCUUGCUGAUGUCUCAAUCAGAAAACAAUUACAUCAGUUUGGACAGACCAAUGCUGCUACUCUUCCAAAUUAUUGUGGCUUUCUUGAAAACCUACAAAGGAAACUUAGAUUCUUCAGGCAAAUUUUGGCUGGUAGAGAUUCUGGAUAACAGGUGAGACAGCAAAAGAGUUUAGAUGUAGAAUUUUUGUAUGGAUGAUUAAAUUCCCUUGCUCUCUUGAUUAAAUGUUGGCAGUGUUGGGGCUGAGUGUUUUAAACUCUUAACGUGUGUCUCUUUUUUUAA
rnacentral:lncRNA from 1 species